ACCCGCCCCCUACCACCUCUUAAACAAACUUCGGACCCGCCGUCGCAAUAAUUACCGGUUAACUUCAAACGCUGAUAAAAAUAUACACAAUUUUUGACGACCUGAAAAAAAAAACACCUCGAAAAUGUUAAACCUGCCGACAAAUCGAUAAACGUCGGAGUAUUUUAAAAACCGUACCGUGUCCAGAGUGCCAUCACAAUUAUGGUAUUCGGUAAAAGCUGCCGGUCUCCACGGUCGUUUCCCACCGUGAUAAUACAACGGCGAAACGAGA